AGGGCGCACGGUGGAUGCCUUGGCACUAGAAGCCGAUGAAGGACGUGACUAACGACGAAAUGCUUUGGGGAGCUGUAAGUGAGCAAUGAUCCAGAGAUGUCCGAAUGGGGGAACCCGGCAGGUAAUGCCUGUCACUCAUUACUGUUAAGGUAAUGUAGAGGAAGACGCAGUGAACUGAAACAUCUAAGUAGCUGCAGGAAGAGAAAGCAAAAGCGAUUGCCUUAGUAGCGGCGAGCGAAACGGCAAGAGGGCAAACCGAAGAGUUUACUCUUCGGGGUUGUAGGACUGCAACGUGGACUUAAAGAUUAUAGAAGAACUACCUGGGAAGGUAGGCCAAAGAGAGUAAUAGCCUCGUAUUCGAAAUAGUCUUUAUACCUAGCAGUAUCCUGAGUACGGCGAGACACGAGAAAUCUCGUCGGAAUCUGGGAGGACCAUCUCCCAACCCUAAAUACUCUCUAGUGACCGAUAGUGAACCAGUACCGUGAGGGAAAGGUGAAAAGCACCCCGGGAGGGGAGUGAAAUAGAACCUGAAACCGUGUGCCUACAACAAGUUCGAGCCCGUUAAUGGGUGAGAGCGUGCCUUUUGUAGAAUGAACCGGCGAGUUACGAUAUGAUGCGAGGUUAAGUUGAAGAGACGGAGCCGUAGGGAAACCGAGUCUUAAUAGGGCGCAUUAGUAUCAUGUCGUAGACCCGAAACCAUGUGACCUACCCAUGAGCAGGUUGAAGGUGAGGUAAAACUCACUGGAGGACCGAACCAGGGCACGUUGAAAAGUGCUUGGAUGACUUGUGGGUAGCGGAGAAAUUCCAAACGAACUUGGAGAUAGCUGGUUCUCUCCGAAAUAGCUUUAGGGCUAGCGUCGAUGUUAAGUCUCUUGGAGGUAGAGCACUGUUUGGGUGAGGGGUCCAUCCCGGAUUACCAAUCUCAGAUAAACUCCGAAUGCCAAUGAGAUAUAAUCGGCAGUCAGACUGCGAGUGCUAAGAUCCGUAGUCGAAAGGGAAACAGCCCAGACCACCAGCUAAGGUCCCAAAAUAUAUGUUAAGUGGAAAAGGAUGUGGGGUUGCACAGACAACUAGGAUGUUAGCUUAGAAGCAGCUAUUCAUUCAAAGAGUGCGUAAUAGCUCACUAGUCGAGUGACCCUGCGCCGAAAAUGUACCGGGGCUAAAACAUAUUACCGAAGCUGUGGAUACCUUUAUAGGUAUGGUAGGAGAGCGUUCUAUGUGCGAAGAAGGUGUACCGUGAGGAGUGCUGGAGCGCAUAGAAGUGAGAAUGCCGGUAUGAGUAGCGAAAGACAGGUGAGAAUCCUGUCCACCGUAAGACUAAGGUUUCCAGGGGAAGGCUCGUCCGCCCUGGGUUAGUCGGGACCUAAGGAGAGACCGAAAGGUGUAUCCGAUGGACAACAGGUUGAUAUUCCUGUACUAGAGUAUAUAGUGAUGGAGGGACGCAGUAGGCUAACUAAACCAGACGAUUGGAAGUGUCUGGCCAAGCAGUGAGGUGUGAUAUGAGUCAAAUGCUUAUAUCUUUAACAUUGAGCUGUGAUGGGGAGCGAAGUUUAGUAGCGAAGUUAGUGAUGUCACACUGCCGAGAAAAGCUUCUAGCGUUAAUUAUACUCUACCCGUACCGCAAACCGACACAGGUAGUCGAGGCGAGUAGCCUCAGGUGAGCGAGAGAACUCUCGUUAAGGAACUCGGCAAAAUGGCCCCGUAACUUCGGGAGAAGGGGCGCUGACUGAUGGUCAGCCGCAGUGAAUAGGCCCAAGCAACUGUUUAUCAAAAACACAGCUCUCUGCUAAAUCGUAAGAUGAUGUAUAGGGGGUGACGCCUGCCCGGUGCUGGAAGGUUAAGAGGAGUGCUUAGCGUAAGCGAAGGUAUGAAUUGAAGCCCCAGUAAACGGCGGCCGUAACUAUAACGGUCCUAAGGUAGCGAAAUUCCUUGUCGGGUAAGUUCCGACCCGCACGAAAGGCGUAAUGAUUUGGGCACUGUCUCAACGAGAGACUCGGUGAAAUUUUAGUACCUGUGAAGAUGCAGGUUACCCGCGACAGGACGGAAAGACCCCAUGGAGCUUUACUGUAGUUUGAUAUUGAGUACCUGUAAGUCAUGUACAGGAUAGGUAGGAGCCAUUGAAAUAGGGACGCUAGUUUCUAUUGAGGCGUUGUUGGGAUACUACCCUUGACUUAUGGUUACUCUAACCCGCUGGCAUAAUCGGCCAGGGAGACAGUGUCUGACGGACAGUUUGACUGGGGCGGUCGCCUCCUAAAGAGUAACGGAGGCGCUCAAAGGUUGGCUCAGAUUGGUUGGAAAUCAAUCGUAGAGUGUAAAGGUAAAAGCCAGCUUGACUGCGAGAGCUACAACUCGAGCAGGUAGGAAACUAGGACUUAGUGAUCCGGUGGUACCGCAUGGAAGGGCCAUCGCUCAACGGAUAAAAGCUACCCUGGGGAUAACAGGCUUAUCUCCCCCAAGAGUUCACAUCGACGGGGAGGUUUGGCACCUCGAUGUCGGCUCGUCGCAUCCUGGGGCUGUAGUCGGUCCCAAGGGUUGGGCUGUUCGCCCAUUAAAGCGGCACGCGAGCUGGGUUCAGAACGUCGUGAGACAGUUCGGUCCCUAUCCGUCGCGGGCGUAGGUAAUUUGAGAGGAUCUGUCCUUAGUACGAGAGGACCGGGAUGGACUUACCGCUGGUGUACCAGUUGUUCCGCCAGGAGCACGGCUGGAUAGCUAUGUAGGGAAGGGAUAAGCGCUGAAAGCAUCUAAGUGCGAAGCCCACCUCAAGAUGAGAUUACCCAUUCGU
rnacentral:rRNA from 1 species